UCUGGUCAUACCACCCUGAACCUAUCCUAACUUCUCUGGUGUCAGAAGCUAAGCAGGAUCGGGCCUGAUCAGUACUUGGAUGGGAGUCGAUACCGCAACGAGUAAGUUAGCCAAAC
ensembl:rRNA 5S_rRNA 5S ribosomal RNA